rnacentral:rRNA from 1 species
UACGUAGGUCCCGAGCGUUGUCCGGAUUUAUUGGGCGUAAAGCGAGCGCAGGUGGUUUAAUAAGUCUGAUGUAAAAGGCAGUGGCUCAACCAUUGUGUGCAUUGGAAACUGUUAGACUUGAGUGCAGUAGAGGAGAGUGGAAUUCCAUGUGUAGCGGUGAAAUGCGUAGAUAUGUGGAGGAACACCAGUGGCGAAGGCGACUCUCUGGUCUGUAACUGACGCUGAGGCUCGAAAGCGUGGGGAGCAAACGGG